GUAGAAACCUUCAGCCAGAAGCUGUUACUUUAAUCUUUUAAAAUGUUGUGUACUCUUUUAUGUUGAUCCAAGGUUGUUGUUGCCGCAGUAAACCUAUUUUUCCUCCAGGCAUGAGAACAAAUCUCAAUCUUUUCUCUCUGUUGCUCUGUGAUUAUUUUUGUUUUCAUUUAUCUCAACGGUUCAAAAAGUUCCAGACUACACCCUCGUGAUAACUAUAUCAAGUUACGUAAAAACAAAAUGUACCAACAAGCUCUGUCCACCCACAUGCUGCCGCGCCUGAUCAGUGUUUGAACAGGAGUCAGCCGUUGCAGGAAGGAGAGCGUAGGAGGCGUGAGAGUGGCGAGGAGGUGGCGAGGAGGUGGCGGUGAUGGAUGGCAGGAGAAUGGAUUGAAGGGGGACUGAUUUACAAACAGGAGAGGAGGCUGAUGUGACUCACAGCAGGCUGUGAAAGGCGGCAAAGUGUAACGCCAGAGAAAAGGAGUCAUCCAGUCACCCACGUGUGAAGUGGAACCGCUGAGGCCACAGAUGAGUGAGCAGCUACAACAGCACACAUGAGCAACUCUUCUUCUUCCUUUCUCUGACCUCACUAACCACAUCCACCUUCUGUGUAUGUCAAGUGAAUUUUCCAUGGUACAAAACAGUAACCUUUUGUCUCUGGAAAUUGGUCAUAUUUUAUUCAAUGCAUUUAUUUUUUUUACAUACAGUACUUCAGAUAAAAAAAACAUGGAAUACAGAUCAGUUUUCACCACAUAAUAAAAAAUACUUUAAAUAAAUAAGAAAUAAAUAAGCA